rnacentral:sRNA from 1 species
GAGCAUCGUAGCCACGACGCGCGGCGGC